UACGGAGGGAGCUAGCGUUGUUCGGAAUUACUGGGCGUAAAGCGCACGUAGGCGGCUUUUCAAGUCAGGGGUGAAAUCCCGGGGCUCAACCUCGGAACUGCCUUUGAAACUGGAAGGCUUGAAUCUUGGAGAGGCGAGUGGAAUUCCGAGUGUAGAGGUGAAAUUCGUAGAUAUUCGGAAGAACACCAGUGGCGAAGGCGACUCGCUGGACAAGUAUUGACGCUGAGGUGCGAAAGCGUGGGGAGCAAACAGG
rnacentral:rRNA from 1 species